GCUUACACAUGCAAGUCGAACGAUGAACCACUUCGGUGGGGAUUAGUGGCGAACGGGUGAGUAACACGUGGGCAAUCUGCCCUUCACUCUGGGACAAGCCCUGGAAACGGGGUCUAAUACCGGAUACCACUACCGCAGGCAUCUGUGGUGGUUGAAAGCUCCGGCGGUGAAGGAUGAGCCCGCGGCCUAUCAGCUUGUUGGUGAGGUAAUGGCUCACCAAGGCGACGACGGGUAGCCGGCCUGAGAGGGCGACCGGCCACACUGGGACUGAGACACGGCCCAGACUCCUACGGGAGGCAGCAGUGGGGAAUAUUGCACAAUGGGCGAAAGCCUGAUGCAGCGACGCCGCGUGAGGGAUGACGGCCUUCGGGUUGUAAACCUCUUUCAGCAGGGAAGAAGCGAAAGUGACGGUACCUGCAGAAGAAGCGCCGGCUAACUACGUGCCAGCAGCGCGGGUAAUACAAA
rnacentral:rRNA from 1 species